CACAGCAUGGUUUGAUGAGGAGUGCACAGGUCUGCACCCAGGAUCCAAACCUGUGCACCCCAGGCUGCUGAAGCAGAGCAGGUGAACCUAACCACUACGCCACCAGCUCCUCCUAGGCACGAAGACAGUUUUCCACCCAAGGGCCCAUGGCCAAGCUCCAGCAACCCAGCUCAGAUGUGAAAUCCUAGGCUUGGCAGCUUGCAGCUGGCACCUGGCAGCCAGACAUGCAAACAUUUGGCCAUGCCCCUGUGUCUGGCCCGGCCCUGCCUGGAGAAGAGGCACAAAGGCUGGGCCAGUGGCCAGCCAGGCCAGAAGUGGGCCCCAGAUUCAGGAUCUUUGCCAGACAGAAGAGAAGAGGACUACAGAUUAC
rnacentral:lncRNA from 1 species